rnacentral:lncRNA from 1 species
UCAAAUAUACACAUGAAAUCACAAACUAGAUCUAUUUCCAAAUAAAAGGAAAAACCAACCUUUUUGAGCGUGAACGAGAACGAGAUCUUGACUUUGAUCUAUGUUCAGAUCUGCCCAUAGGGUGAGACUCAGACUUAUGUCUAUGCCGCUCGUCUUUGUCUCUGUCUCUUCUCCUACAACCAUAUCCAACUUUAAAAAGAGAUAACAAGCAUGAGGGUUUGACGAUUUGACAGAGGAAUCACUCCAAAAAGGAGAGAGGCUCGCAAUUGUUUAGAAAUCGCAGCAUAUUUUUGAUUUUCAUAGCAGGAGGGAGGGUUUAGUUGAAAUCGCAGCAGAAAUCAUAGCCGUCGCAGCAGGAAUUAGGAAUCGGGGUUUAGGAAUCGAAAUCGCAGCAGUCGCAAAAGGGUUUACGAAUAGAAUUCGAAGGAGAAAAUCGAGAAAGGGUGGGUUUAAUUGAAACCGCCAGACGAAAUCGCAGCAGUGGAAGCAGGGAGUAGCAGACGAAAUAGGAGAUAAUCGAAAAU